GCCUGGGUGGCUCAGUCGGUUAAGCGGCCGACUUCGGCUCAGGUCAUGAUCUCGAGGUUUGUGAGUUCAAGCCCCACCUCGGGCU
rnacentral:tRNA from 1 species